rnacentral:rRNA from 1 species
GACGAACGCUGGCGGCGUGCCUAAUACAUGCAAGUAGAACGCUGAAGGAGGAGCUUGCUUCUCCGGAUGAGUUGCGAACGGGUGAGUAACGCGUAGGUAACCUGCCUGGUAGCGGGGGAUAACUAUUGGAAACGAUAGCUAAUACCGCAUAAGAGUAGAUGUUGCAUGACAUUUGCUUAAAAGGUGCAAUUGCAUCACUACCAGAUGGACCUGCGUUGUAUUAGCUAGUUGGUGGGGUAACGGCUUACCAAGGCGACGAUACAUAGCCGACCUGAGAGGGUGAUCGGCCAAACUGGGACUGAGACACGGCCCAGACUCCUACGGGAGGCAGCAGUAGGGAAUCUUCGGCAAUGGACGGAAGUCUGAACGAGCAACGCCGCGUGAGUGAAGAAGGUUUUCGGAUCGUAAAGCUCUGUUGUAAGAGAAGAACGAGUGUGAGAGUGGAAAGUUCACACUGUGACGGUAUCUUACCAGAAAGGGACGGCUAACUACGUG